UAAUUUGUAGAAGAUGUUUCGGGUGUGGCUCCGGUUUAAGUUCUUUGGAAUAUUACAUCAUAGAGGGUGAGAAUCCCGUAUGUGACCGGCAGCCUCCGCCUAUGUGAAACUCUUUCGAC
rnacentral:rRNA from 1 species